GUGUAUACCAAGUUAUAAUGUUCAAACUUUUGCCAUAACUGUAUAUUUGUGUGUCUGUCUGAGUGUCUGUUGUCAACUUAAACCUUCACCAUAACUUUAGAACUAUAUGAGAUAGUGGCUUCAUAUUUAGUAUGUAUACUCCACUAAUGAAGUGCUUUCAAAUGGCAACAAGGACAAUGAUUAUGUGAUCUUGACUGUGACCUGUAUGCUAAAAAAAAUUGCAUUUUCGAACUUUGUUGCUGUGUUUCACAAGCGCAUCUUGUUUUUAGCUCUACUUGUCAGAGACCAGAAGAGCUUAUGCGAUAGUAAUGCGUACGUCCGUCUGUCUGUCUGUCCGUCUAUCUGCAAACACUACUCCUCCUUAAAUUUUAGUCUGAUUUCAAUAUAACUUGGCACACAAGUAGACUAUACUAAGAUACAUAAUUCUGUGCAUCAGUUUUUGAUAAGUACAAACCAGUAGAGCUACAGUCUCGACAGAGACUUCUUGUUAUUUUUUCUUCCAUCCCGGUUGUUGCUAAUGCUAUUACAUAAUUAGUUUGAAUUAGAAUGCAAUAGUACCUGGACAUAAUUUAUCAUUUCAGAGAGAAGAAAACUGUGUGACUUUAAAAGAAAACCAGUGAGAUAAAAUCAUAGAAAAUGUAUGAUGAUUCAGGAUGUGGUCAUUUGUGACAUUAAAACAGGAAUUGUCAUCACCAAUAGACUAAUUUCACAUUCCUUAGAGUUUUCUCCAAUUGUCGGUAUAUCGCUCAUUUUCCCCACUUUGUCCUUUGUCCUGUUCUGUGGAUGCCCUAAGACAGUGUCUACCCAUCACUCCAUCUGAAAUCACU